CCGCCCUCUUCCACAUACAUGAGCUCACAGAGCCCCACGAUUGGCUAACAUCUCUGUGAUCGACAGGGGAGACAGAGUAUGCCCCUCCCACUCUCUCUCGGCUCCCAGCUACAGGUGGCUGUGGCAUCACUGGGAUUCGAACUCGCGAUCUCCUGGCGAUACGGUGAAUGAUUUUCUCCUGCGCCACUUUGUCAUGAUAAUAAGGACAAUCUUUGACACCGUAUUGCUGUUAUGAAUUAGAUUUGUCUAUUUUUUUCCCCUCACGGGAUGUAAACGUUUGCACUGUGCUGUAUAGAGAAAUGCAUUGGGAUGUACAGACUGUACUACAGUGAGUCAGUGGACAGCAGCGGGGAGGUCGUUAGAUGAGUAAAUAAGCCGAAUGUCCUCCCUGCACGAGCUGUGUUUACAGUGAGAGGAGUGCGGCCACCUGUCUCUCUCUCCCUCUCACUCACACACACGCAAGAGCAGGAUUUACUGCAUUACAGCGCGCCAUUUCCUGCACUAGCUUAGGCUGAAAACCCAGAGUGGGAGAAAGAGAAAGACAGAAAGAGACUAACAGAGAGACAGGGAGAGAGGUGAGAGGGUGAGAGAGAGAGAGAGAGGGAAAAAGAAACAAAGAUGGAGACAGAGAGAAUGAGAGAGCGACAGAUAGAGAGAGAGAGAGAGAGAGAGAGAGCAGUGUUACAUAAGCAAAGCCCCGUCUGUGAUCAUAACUCCAGGCCAAGUGACAAAUGACGCACAGAGAAAGAGAGAAAAUGAGCGAGAGAUACAGAAGAGUGAGGGGGUUAGAGGGAGAGAGAGAUAGAGAAGAAGACAGGGACUGGGAACAGGAAGACAGACGCCUGUAUGCAGACUGGGAUGUUGUUGUUUGGGGACAGAGGGGCAGAGAGAGUGAGUCAGUGACAGACUGAAGCAUGAGUGAUAGAGUGAAGAAGUGAGAAAGUGAGUGAAUGAACGAGUGGGCGAGACCGAAGGACCAGCGUGUCAGUGGAUAUGUCCGGAAGAACCGAGGCAGAUACAACUGAGAGAAUCCAAAAGCCAAAAAGAAGGAACAAUAUGCAACUUGUCCUGUACAAGACUGAUCUGCAUGUGUUAAGAAGCGACC